rnacentral:ncRNA from 1 species
UCUAGAAAAUAGCAAACUUCAUCGAAAGGGGAGGACGCAAAGCCGUGGGUCUAAAGUCACUUGUGGACAAGGAUCGCCAGGUUGCCGAG